UAGUCAUAUGCUUGUCUCAAAAAUUAACCCAUGCAUGUCUAAGUAUAAGCAAUCUAUACGGUGAAACUGCGAAUGGCUCAUUAAAUCAGUUAUCGUUUAUUUGAUAGUACCUUACUACUUGGAUAACCGUGGUAAUUCUAGAGCUAAUACAUGCUAAAAACCCCGACUUCGGAAGGGGUGUAUUUAUUAAAUAAAAAACCAAUGCCCUUCGGGGCUCCUUGGUGAUUCAUAAUAACUUAACGAAUCGCAUGGCCUUGUGCCGGCGAUGGUUCAUUCAAAUUUCUGCCCUAUCAACUUUCGAUUGUAAGGUAGUGGCUUACAAUGGUUUCAACGGGUAACGGGGAAUUAGGGUUCUAUUCCGGAAAGGGAGCCUGAAAAACGGCUACCACAUCCAAGGAAGGCAGCAGGCGCGCAAAUUACCCAAUCCCGACACGGGGAGGUAGUGACAAUAAAUACUGAUACAGGGCUCUUUUGGGUCUUGUAAUUGGAAUGAGUACAAUUUAAAUCCCUUAACGAGGAACAAUU
rnacentral:rRNA from 1 species